CUUCCAUGAUGACACGAUGACAAGUCAGAAAGGUCAUAUCCUGUUCUUGGUCCUUGUCCGUGCCAUGUUCUGUGGUGUUGCUCAUGGGUUCCUUUAGCAAAAGGGCCCUAUUCCUUGAUUGAUUUAGGGGCAUUUGCUUGAGAAGG
ensembl:snoRNA SNORD15 Small nucleolar RNA SNORD15